UGCCCGGUCGUCCAAUGGCAGGACAGCUGACUCUGGAUCAGUCGAUGGGGUUCGAGUCCUCCCCGGGCAACCA
rnacentral:tRNA from 1 species